GACGAACGCUGGCGGCGUGCUUAACACAUGCAAGUCGAGCGGUAAGGCCCUUUCGGGGGUACGACGAGCGGCGAACGGGUGAGUAACACGUGGGUGACCUGCCCUCAGCUCUGGGAUAAGCCUGGGAAACUGGGUCUAAUACUGGAUAUGACUCCACGGUGCAUGUCGUGGGGUGGAAAGCCUUGUGCGGCUGAGGAUGGGCCCGCGGCCUAUCAGCUUGUUGGUGGGGUGANGGCCUACCAAGGCGACGACGGGUAGCCGGCCUGAGAGGGCGACCGGCCACACUGGGACUGAGACACGGCCCAGACUCCUACGGGAGGCAGCAGUGGGGAAUCUUGCGCAAUGGGCGAAAGCCUGACGCAGCGACGCCGCGCGAGGGAUGACGGCC
rnacentral:rRNA from 1 species